UACGUAGGGGGCUAGCGUUGUCCGGAAUCACUGGGCGUAAAGCGCACGUAGGCGGACUCUUAAGUCGGUGGUGAAAUCCUGGAGCUCAACUCCAGAACUGCCUUUGAUACUGAAGAUCUUGAGUUCGGGAGAGGUGAGUGGAACUGCGAGUGUAGAGGUGAAAUUCGUAGAUAUUCGCAAGAACACCAGUGGCGAAGGCGGCUCACUGGCCCGAUACUGACGCUGAGGCACGAAAGCGUGGGGAGCAAACAGG
rnacentral:rRNA from 1 species